UACGAAGGGGGCUAGCGUUGCUCGGAAUCACUGGGCGUAAAGCGCACGUAGGCGGCUUUUUAAGUCAGGGGUGAAAUCCUGGAGCUCAACCCCAGAACUGCCUUUGAUACUGAGAAGCUUGAGUCCGGGAGAGGUGAGUGGAACUGCGAGUGUAGAGGUGAAAUUCGUAGAUAUUCGCAAGAACACCAGCGGCGAAGGCGGCUCACUGGCCCGGUACUGACGCUGAGGUGCGAAAGCGUGGGGAGCAAACAGG
rnacentral:rRNA from 1 species